GCUGAUAUGGCUCAGUUGGUAGAGCGCGCCCUUGGUAAGGGUGAGGUACCCAGUUCGUCUCUAGUCGUCAGCA
rnacentral:tRNA from 1 species